rnacentral:rRNA from 1 species
UACGUAGGGGCUAGCGUUGUCCGGAAUCAUUGGGCGUAAAGCGCGUGUAGGCGGCCCGGUAAGUCCGCUGUGAAAGUCGGGGGCUCAACCCUCGGAUGCCGGUGGAUACUGUCGGGCUCGAGUACGGAAGAGGCGAGUGGAAUUCCUGGUGUAGCGGUGAAAUGCGCAGAUAUCAGGAGGAACACCAAUUGCGAAGGCAGCUCGCUGGGACGUUACUGACGCUGAGACGCGAAAGCGUGGGGAGCAAACAGG